GAUGAACGCUGGCGGCGUGCCUAAUACAUGCAAGUCGAGCGAACAGACGAGGAGCUUGCUCCUCUGACGUUAGCGGCGGACGGGUGAGUAACACGUGGAUAACCUACCUAUAAGACUGGGAUAACUUCGGGAAACCGGAGCUAAUACCGGAUAAUAUAUUGAACCGCAUGGUUCAAUAGUGAAAGACGGUUUUGCUGUCACUUAUAGAUGGAUCCGCGCCGCAUUAGCUAGUUGGUAAGGUAACGGCUUACCAAGGCAACGAUGCGUAGCCGACCUGAGAGGGUGAUCGGCCACACUGGAACUGAGACACGGUCCAGACUCCUACGGGAGGCAGCAGUGGGGAAUAUUGCACAAUGGGCGGAAGCCUGAUGCAGCAACGCCGCGUGCGGGAUGACGGCCUUCGGGUUGUAAACCGCUUUCGCCUGUGACGAAGCGUGAGUGACGGUAAUGGGUAAAGAAGCACCGGCUAACUACGUG
rnacentral:rRNA from 1 species